UACAGAGGGGGCAAGCGUUGUUCGGAAUUACUGGGCGUAAAGGGCGCGUAGCGGCCGCCUAAGUCAGACGUGAAAUCCCUCGGCUCAACCGGGGAACUGCGUCUGAUACUGGGUGGCUUGGAAUUUCGGGAGAGGGAUGCGGAAUUCCAGGUGUAGCGGUGAAAUGCGUAGAUAUCGGGAGGAACACCGAUGGCGAAAGGCGCG
rnacentral:rRNA from 1 species